GCGCGGAUAAACGGCGGGAGUAACUAUGACUCUCUUAAGGUAGCCAAAUGCCUCGUCAUCUAACUAGUGACGCGCAUGAAUGGAUUAAUGAGAUUCCCACUGUCCCUAUCUACUGUCUAGCGAACCCACAGCCAAGGGAACGGGCUUGGAAUAAUCAGCGGGGAAAGAAGACCCUGUUGAGCUUGACUCUAGUCUGACGUUGUGAAAUGACUUGGGAGGUGUAGAAUAAGUGGGAGGCUCUGCCGUCUGUGAAAUACCACUACUCUCAAUGUUGUUUUACUUAUACCAUGAUGUAGCAUCUGUGUGGCCUCGC